CAGUGAUGCAUGGCCUGAACAAAUGAUAUGAGCAAAUUUGGUAUGUUCUUUCAAGCAUCUUUAUUUCAAAUUUUACUUUUAAUUACAAUCUUCUCACCUAGAGCUAGUUGGCAGUGGCUAUAUUUUGGAGAUAAUGUAGUCAAAGUAUGUUAAGCUAUGUGCCAUAAGCUUAACAUCCACUUGUAGGUUCCAAUGAUUGGCAUUUUUGGAUCAUGUCCCAAGUUAGAUAGUAGAAGAGAAAUAAUGGAUACCUUUGGUUGGUGCUGAAACCAAAGGAGAAUGAGGGACUUAUAGGUUGUAGCGGUUGGUAUGGUUCUUGCAGUACAUUAGGUGCUGAAAAUAUGUGAUUCUAAAGCUAGAGGAGAUGUAGGACAUAUAGGAUGUAGCAGCUGUCACACCCGAAUUUAAGGGGUAAAGCCGGUGCGUCUCAUAUGUGCGCCAAAGAAGAACAACACAUAUAAUGACCAAGUGUAUAGAGAUAAAUGUCACAAAUAUUAUUACACCGCAAAAGUGUCUUACAAAAUAAAUUAUAACAAUAAAGUGAACUAAUAAUUAUUCAUUGGCGCCAUAAAGUUGACUGGGAGACGCCACCUAGACAAGCCCGAACUCCUCAUAGUAGACCUCCUCCUGGGCUACCUGCUCUUCAUAUGUAGGGGGGUUUAUAUAUCGCAAGGGUGAGCUCACAAAAGAUCAUAGCUCAACAAGUUGUGGGGAAUAAUGUGCAUGAACUCACCAAAGGUGAGAGCUCAUGUGAAGUGUAAGGCUUAUCAACAAAUAAUGGUUAAAGUUGAGCAUUGCUUUUAAUAAGUUGGUCAAAUUUUAUUAACAGUUACUAAAUGUAAGUGUAUACCAAACCAGAUUAAUAAUAGAUUAAAAUUAUUAAUAAAACCACAAUGUGAUGCAAAUGACAAAUUGAGUUUAAUUUCAUAAGUUAAUCAUGCGAGAGCCCUGAGCUGCUCAUGACCGCGAGCACGACUAGUAUACCAGUUUUACACUCUGCAGAGGUUGUACCCUUUACCCACAAGUCAUGUUACCCAUCUGCCACGAGGUUGUACGGGCCUCAUACACCUCUACCAAGGAAGCGAGGCGGGGUAACACUACGAGGCCUUUACAAAGUUCCACUAGCUUCAGAAAACCCACUAUAGUUUCUAGGGAGCGCAAUAUAGGAAUCCCCCGUCUGAAAAGCCAUCACAGCAAAAUCAACCCGAGAACCUCACUAUACCGACAACUCCCCUACUGCCCCUUGCCCCUUUUGGGUAAGGUAGACCUCCACUAGCUUUCCUAAUUAGUCAGCCAAGGGCGUCCCAUUCCACCCUUGUGGUGGCACGUUUAUCUCAAGUUAAGCUCCAUGUUCCAAUUAACACAAUAGUCUUAUCAUGAACAGAAUAGAACAACAAUAAUAAAGCAUGAUCAUGAGUAGUAAUUAUCUUAAUACCCAAAGCCACAUAUAGCAAUAGCAGAUACUACCCAAAAAGUUCUAUGGUAAAACAAGGUAUAAAGAUGACCAAACUACGGUGACCUAUUGGGUCCCAUAAAAAUUAAGCCUAAGCAUGCCAAAGUGAUUAUAGAGAACAUUAUUGGAUAAAUGAAAGUGGUCAAGGACACAACUUGCCUUUAACGAGCUGCUGCUCAGUAUUUUCCACCUGCUGAGCACCUGGGUCCUCAGUUGCUUGCCCGUCUACUCGCAACAAUACAAACAAACAUGGUACAGGAGAAAUUAACAUCACACCAAACAUCAGAACAGAAUGCAUGAUAAUAUUCUACGCAUCAUAAUGAGACCACGUGUUUGAGAACCACUAAAUUCAGAGUUACGGUUAACAAGUUGUGAUUUUCCGAAGUUUUAAGUGUUUGAUAUAGGAUAAAUUAAGUGCAUAAUUUUAGUAUAUGAUUCAUUGCAAAACAAAGCUACCAGGUGAUAAACAAUAUUAAUACAAAAUUAAUGCAACUGGAAUGAAUUAAAAAGGAAUUAAAAUGAAUUACACAUGAAUUAAACAAGUUCUAGAAUUAUUUUUAUACUAGAAAAUCACUUUCUUUAUUAUUUUAUCCCAUUUUAUUUCCUAACUGGACUGCGCACAUUAUUCUAGAGUUCUACAGGGGCUACUUUGUAAAAUUUAGGACUCAUGUGUGAUGGUUUUAUAUUUAACCUGGUCUGCGGGUUGAUUUACCAAAACAUUAGGGGCUAUUGUGUAAGACGAGCUGACUGUCACACCCGGCUUUAAGGAACAAAGCCAGGUGCAUCUCAUACAUGCGCCAAGAAGACAACAUAUAUAUGAACAGAGUGUAUAGAGAUAAAUGUCAUAAAACAUCAGAGUAUUUAUUACAUAGCGGAAGACUUAUUACAAAAUAAAAUAAUAAAUAUAAAACGAACUAAGGAUCGUCGGCGCCAAUGUCAACUGAGAAACGCCACCUAGAUCAGAUCAUACUCCUCGCCUUGUGGCUCCUCCUGAACCACAUGUUCUUCUCCUGUUGGGGGGUGUGAGACAGCAAGAGUGAGCUCACAUACGUUCAUCGCUCAACAAGUUGUGGGGAAUAAUGUGACAUGAACUCACCAAAGGUGGGAGUUCAUGUAGUGUAAGGCUGAUCAAUGAAAUAAAGGCUGAAGCUGAGCAUUGCUUUUAGAAGUUGGUCAAAAUUUUAUUAGCAGUUACUAAGUGUAAGUAAAUACCAAACCUUAGAAAUAAUAAAUAAAAGUAAUAAUAAAAUAAUCCCAAAUGCAAUGAUAUGACAGAUUAAGUUUAAGUUCCAUAAAUUAAUCAUGUGAGUGUCCGAGCCGCUCAUGACCGUGAGCACGGCUAGUAUACCAGUUUUACACUCUGCAGAGGUUGCGCAUCUUUACCCACAAGUCGUGUUACCCAUUUGCCACGGAGUUGAUCAGACUCCAUACACCUCUACCGAGGAAGCGAGGCAGGGUACCACUACGAGGCCUUUACAAAGUUCCACUAGCUUCAGACUACCCGCUACAUUUUAUAGGAAGCUCCAGUGCAGGGUUCUUGCCUGACCGCCAUCGCAGCAAAAUCAACCCAAGGACCCCCCUACACUGACCACUCCCCUACUGCCCUUGCCCCUUUCGGGUAAGGCAGCCCUCCACUAGCUUUCCUAGUUAAUCAGCCAAGGGCGUCCCAUUAUACCCUUGUGGUAGCACUGUUUUCCCGGAUGGUUCUCCAUGUUCCCAUUAACAUAAUGAUCUUAUCAUGAAUAGUAAAUAAUAAAUAGAUAAUAAAAAGGUAUGACAAUGAGUGAUAAAUAUCUUUAUACCCAAAGCCACAUAAAGCGAUAGAAUGUACUACCCAAAAAUUUAGUAGUAAAACCAGUGGUGAAACAAGGUAUAAAGAUAGUCAAAAUCUAGGGUAACCUAUUGGGUCCCAUCAGAAUUAACCUAUGCAGAUCAUUAUGAUUAAUAAGAACAUGAAUAGGUAAAAGAAGUGAUCAAGGACACAACUUGCCUUCAACGAGCUCCUGCUCAGCAGUCUCUACUUGCUGAACCUCAGAUUCCAUAGUGGCUUGCUCGUCUAUUCGCAUCAACACAAUACAUACAUAGUAUAGCCAAAAUCAACAUCACACCAAACAUGUAAAUAAAUAUACAGUAAAAUCUAUACAUUAAAAUGAGAUCAUAGGAACUAGAAUCACUAAAUUUGGAGUUAUAGAUUUCAAGUUAUGAAUUUCCUAAGGUUUAAUGUGAUUAAAAUAGGAUUAGAUGAUAAAUUAAUUUUCUAACUGAGUUCAUGUCAAAACAGUGAUACUAAUUGAUAGAGAAUAUUAUUACAAAAUUUUAGAAAUUGAAAUGGUUCAAUUUGGACCAAAAAUGAAAUUUCUAUGAAUUUUACAAGUUUCUAGAUUUGUUUUUGUAUUAAAAAUGAAUUUCUAAUAUUAUUUCUCUGUUUUUAAACGUCUCUGGACUGGGCCUCGAAUUCUAGAAAGCGCAGGGGUUCUGGCGCAAGUUUACCGAGACACAAUGAAUAGUACUCUGAGGACUGCGGGUUGAUUCUAUAAUAUUCCAGGGGCUCUUACGCAAGACUAACAGCCGAAAGGGUAUCGGCUAAUAUCGGCCGUCCGAUUAGAAAUCACGCGUCCAGAUUAAAUCAGCAAACGCGCGAACCGGUACGCCGAGGGAUCCACACGAUCUAAGAUCAACGGUCACCAUUUAAUGAAUGCAGAGGUAAGCGCCUAUCGUCCGAUUCGAGAUCGACGGUGAAAGUAGCCUAGAGGGGGGGUGAAUAGGCUACACCUGAAAAUUUUCACUAAAAACUUCGAAAUAGGUUAAAUUAAAGUUGCACCGGUGCAAACCGGUUCAGUCGAUUUUAAUCACAACUGAACAGGUUUGAACCCACUCAACUUAAAUUUAAUAAUCUAUUGAACAAAUGCGAAGUAGUAAAGAAAAUAGCUAAAGAUUUGCCCUACACAAGAACUACUUGAAUGAAUAAUAUGAACCAACCACCGAAUAUGAAGUGCUUAACAAGAACACACAAGAACACGCGAUAUAACCCGAGGUUCGGCAACCACCACAAAGGUGUCCUACUCCUCGUUGAGGAACCCACAAAGGGCCGGGUCUUUUCCAACCCUAAUCCUCCAAAAGCCGACCACAAAGGUCAAGGCAAUCUCUUCUCAAAUCUGCUCAAGGAGCGGGUGAUACAAACUUCUUGGAGUCGUCCACAGAUUUGGAGACUCCCAAGCAACCUCUAACCGUCAAGGAACACGAGGUUCCAAGAGUAACAAAUCCGCACACGGUUAAGUUUGCAACGAGCUCAAGAACAAGAGAAUGGGAGAAUCGAGAUGAAAUUGACAGCGAGUUCGAUCGAGUUCACCUCACACCAAGGGUCCUUCAAAUGAUUGAAGGAGAUGCGAAUGCGGGUGUGAGAGGUGAAGUGAAUGCUCUUGUUUGAGGGUUGGUCAGCCAAAGAUUCAUGGGAGAGGCAGAAGUAAAUGAGAGAGAGAGUGUGAGGGGGUAUAUAAAGGAUCCCCCAAAAGCUGGCAGCCGUUGGGAGAAAAAGGACAAAAACCGGUUGAACCGGUUUACAAACCGGUUGAACCGGUUUCUGCCAGGGGGAUCCCGGUCCACUGGUCUACUCAGCCGGACACUGGACCGGUUUUAAAACCGGCUGAGUAGGGACAAAAAUCGGCUCAACCGGUUUCUGAAAAAUAUCUGCUGCGACUUUUCUGACAGCUCUGACUGUCAGACAGGUCAGAGCAGAGGUGGCAGGGUGAACAGUACCGAAACCGGUUGAACCGGUUUCAGGACCGGUUGAACCGGUUUUGGGGGCUGAAACCAAACUUGGAGAAUUUUGAAGAGAACAAAGGGAGAGACUUUGUGGGAAGUGAAAUUUGUUUUUUCUCAAGAGCAUUCAUGAUCUGGGAAAAAUGAUCUCAAAGGAGUUUUCAAAAGAAUUGAACUUGGCUCGUUUCACAACUUACUUAACCGUCGCGGAUCCCUCUUAAUUGUACGGCGAUUCCUAUGACUCAAGAAUUAUAAACUUAGCACUGCCGUUGUUUCAGAGCACUUGGAGCACGCCAUUUGAUGUGGAAUUUUAAAUCUGCUGUGCUUUAUACUUUUAUGCUCGUAGGAUCUGUGCUUCCCCUGUCUGUAGAAAUACUGUGUACAUACUAGGAGCAAACUUGUUAGAAUCUUAGUUUGUUUUGUCAUUAAUCACCAAAACCCUGAAUUAGGGUUGAUUGCACUUACAAUCUCCCCCUUUUUGGUGAUUGAUGCCAAAACAAACUAGAAUAGAAAUAAUAAUUAAAAUUUACAAAUACUUGCGAUAUAAAAUCUUUUGUGCAUGUGUAGCUCCCCCUAAAUAUGUGCAUGAGUUUUGCGAUAUUAACAUUGACUUGAUAUGUCAAUUUGCAACAUAUUUAGAGAGAGAGAACAAUCAACACCAUACACAAAAAUGAUGAGAUAUAAAACAUAAUUGAAUAUAAAGAGUAAAAGCACAUUCAAGCUCAUCAUUGCAUAGCAUAUGAUAUGAAAAAGUUCUACAGCUAUUACAUUAAUGAGAGCUCGUCUCAUCACAUCAUCAAGUGUUUAUGGCAUUCAAGCCAUGCAUGCAGCAAAAUAGUUAUUACAGACCAAGUGUUCAUUACAAAAAUAAAGUACAAGAAUAAUAAACGUUCUCCCCCUUUUUGGCACCAAGAACCAAAAAGAGAGAGAGAGAAAAGCGCCAAUCCAAGGAUCACCAGUGGGGAGGAGGAUGAUGAGGAGCGAAGAGGUGUUGCGCCAGGUCGGAGGCAAAGUGUUCCUCUCCAGACUGGGCCGGAGGAGGAGCACUGCCAGACGGGUCCUGGGGCGGAGGGUAAGAGGACGAUUGGCCCGGAUCCCCGUGAUAUGGGGGUGGGUCAAACUGCUCCGGAUCAUCAAAAUAUGUUUCUUCUUCUUCGACGUCAUCGGCAGAUGAAAAAGGUACCCCAUACGCCUGCUGGUACCACUCGUUGACAUCUGGAGGAGGAGGGUGAAGAGGUACAUCAGGAGAGCGAGGGGCGAAGGGAGUACCCAAAGCGGAAGCUUGACGACGAAGGUUGUCGUCGGUCUCCCGCUGACGUCGAGCCACCUCAUGGACAUCUGCAGCAAUAUUUCGGCACAUGGAGAAGAAGGCCGCAAACCCGUGGACCAGGCGGGCACCCAUCCCGCGGCCACGACCUCGACCACGACCACGACCACGUGGUGUGGGAGAUCCGCGGCCAGGGGAAGGGCGCGAGGCACCAGCAGCAGCAGCAGCACCAGCACCGGCAGACGGACCAGCAGAUGUAUGACCACGAGAACUGGAGGGGGCUUUCCUGAGGCGCCCAGCUGGAUUGUUGGGAUCAAUCCAGAAAGGGGUGUAUGACUGAUGUCGGGUGCCUUUCUCAAAUCUGAAUUGGGUCACGACCUCAAUCAUUUUCAUAAUGAAUGGAGCAUGAAGACACCCCUUCAAAGGAAAGCAGGCAGCAUGAAUAAUUUCCUGCCAAAUCAUGUCAAAGACAUUAAUCCUUUCUGAGCUGUUUGGUUUCAUAAAAGAGAGCAAGACUUUGCUCUCCCCAAGGAUGUUCAUCUGAUUUCCCCCUUUUGGAAUGAGGGUCAUCCUGCAGAGGGAGUUGAUAUAACGAUAAUACUUAUGAAUGUUGGUUGACUCCCAAUACUUUCCAGACUCAGACAGAUGAAGGUCCUUGGCUUCAUCUCUUGUGGGCUGCCGGAAAUCAUGAAUCUUGAUCUUGUCUCCAGAUAUAUCCUCGUCAGAAAAGCCAAGAAUGUGAGCAAAUCGACGAUAGCUCACCUUGUACCAACUACCUUCAAUGAAGAAGUUCAGAUAGGGGUAGUUGUAAUGACUCUCCUCGUCAGCAAGCUUUAUCCAGAGAGUGGAGUAGAAUUGUCCAAUCACUUCAUCAUUCCAAUCAUAUUGGAAUGUCAUGAUGUUCUUCAUUUGCUUCCUUUCACAGGCCCUCAGUGCCUGUGACAUUUCUGGGUCCCCAAUCGCUUCACAACCUUCCCAAUUAAUAUAUCGUUGAUGAAGGAUGGGUUGAUGCUUCUUGGGAAGAAUGACGGAGUUAUAGAAAUCCACGUGGUGAAGAGUCCAAAAGCGAUUUCCAUCGAUCCUGGCAUCGCGAAUACGCAAUACAGGAUUUUGGAAACGAAGAUCUUGGAGAAGAGCAGACCCUCCACUGGCCGUGAAGUCAGUGACUGGCUCAUUGCCAGCACGCCGAGCCUCGGCCCGGUGGAGCACCAAGCCGCGAAUCACGGGAGCCUGAGCCGGGGGAAGAUCAACUUCAUCAUCCUUCCCACCAUCAUCAUCACUUGCAGGCUCCCACGCCUGCAGAUUCGUCGCAGGUCGAGACCGACCGGAAGGAGUCCGGGAAGUCCGACCGCGAGCACUUUGAGACCCAGAGGCCUCAGUACCCGGCAUGACAUUGCCGCAUCCGCGCCCUCGCUUGGAUCGAGAGCGAGGUGGGGUAUCACCAUGGAUUUCCUGGUCAUCCGAUGAGUCGGAUUCGACCACUGACGGAUUCCUUCGACGCACCAUUCUAAGAAAUAAGAGAUAGAACCUAUGAUGAGCAAGGAUCAACCACGUUUGAGAAAAAGACGCAUAAGAGAUUGAGCAUGCACUUCAACCGUUCAUAUGAGCGGUUCAACUACAACGAACAAUAUCAAAUCGCUAAUCUCAACAGUGUUUGUGACAAAAUGAAGAUAGUCUAAGUGUUGCAAUCACUUAAACUAAAAUGUACCCAGCGAAUGAUACAUAAGAUAAUCAAGAACGCGUAGGAUCGAGUACAAGGAAAUAACAUAGAACAAUACCUCGAUCCAAAGAUGGGGUCAAGAUCUCCCAACGAGAUGGAGGGAGAUGAUGGAAACACGCCGGGAAGAACGGAUCUCCAACCACACUUCCAAAAUGGGUGAGGGCUCGAGUGAGUUUGGAGAGGAGAGAGGAGAAAAUAAGAUGGCGGCGGCGGCUGAGAAACAAGACUGAGAAGGGGAAGAGGAGAGAGGGAGAGGUAUAAAAAGGAGAAGAGUCGGCCGCCAGAAAACCGAAAACCGGUUCAACCGGUUUCAAAACCGGUUCAACCGGUUUCGGGUCAAACAGCGCAGUAAAAGCGCGCAGAAAACAAUGUUGACUGCGCGAAAAUCGUGGCAGUCUGACAGCACAGACUGCAAAACUGACAGCGCAGACUGCGCAGCUGUCAGCGCAGACUGCGCGCGGACUGACGGCGCGACGGCCAAAACCGGUUCAACCGGUUUUUAUACCGGUUCAACCGGUUUCCACCAGGGAGAAACCGGUUGAGUGGUCUACUCAGCCGGUUUACCCAACCAGAUUUCAAAUAUUGCCCGGAAGGGCUGUAAUAGCACUUAGCAAAUAUGACAUGAGAUAUUUUAAAGAUAAAAAUGAUAUUUCUCAUUUCAUAUUGCUCAAACAAUCAAUUUUCAACCAUCAAAUUUAAUCAAAAUUUUAGUUAUUAAGUCACGUUUCGAGAAUCCAAGAUAUUUAGCUCACUCCUAAGAAAACAAAACCUAGUCUCAUCAAGGGGUUUUGUGAAGAUAUCGGCUAGUUGAUUUUCGGUGCUCACAUGAAAUAGUUCGAUAUCUCCUUUGGCUUCAUGGUCUCUCAAGAAAUGGUGUCUAAUGUCAAUAUGUUUGGUUCUAGAGUGUUGCACCGGAUUGUUUGUAAGUUUUAUGGCACUCUCAUUGUCACAUAAAAGUGGAAUUUUGUUAAACUCACAACCAAAAUCUCUAAGGGUUUGCUUCAUCCAUAGCAACUGUGCACAACAUGCCCCAGCUGCUAUGUAUUCAGCUUCUGCUGUGGAGAGUGCAACACAAUUUUGUUUCUUGGAACUCCAUGACACUAAGGACCGCCCAAGGAAUUGGCAAGUCCCAGUAGUGCUUUUUCGAUCUACUUUGCAACCGGCAUAAUCUGAGUCAGAAUAGCCAAGCAAAUCGAAAAAGGAGCCUUUAGGAUACCAUAAUCCUAGGUUUUGGGUGUGGACUAAGUAUCUUAGAAUUCUCUUAACGGCUACAAGAUGACAGUCUUUAGGAUUUGCUUGAAAACGUGCACACAUACAAACACUCAGCAUUAUAUCAGGCCUAGAUGCACAUAAGUAAAGCAGUGAUCCUAUCAUUGAUCUAUAUAAUUUUUGAUCUACAGGUUUACCUUCCUCAUUUAGGUCGAGAUGUCCAUUUGAUGACAUUGGAGUCUUGGCGUGCUUUGCUUUUUCCAUGCCAAACUUCUUGAGCAUAUCUUGAGUAUAUUUAGUUUGGCAUAGAAAGGUACCUUCCUUGAGUUGUUUGACUUGAAAUCCCAGGAAGUAUUUAAGCUCGCCCAUCAUAGACAUCUCAAACCUGUUCGUCAUUACUUUGCUAAACUCUUCACAAAAUUUUUCAUUAGUACUACCAAAUAUAAUGUCAUCAACAUAUAUUUGGCACACAAAUAAUUCAUUAUCAACUUUUCGAGUAAACAAAGUAGAGUCAGCUUUUCCUAUUGUAAACCCAUUUUUAAUUAAAAAAUCUUUAAGACAGUCAUACCAAGCUCUAGGGGCUUGUUUAAGCCCGUAGAGUGCCUUGUGAAGAAGAUAAACAUGAUUUGGCUUCUUUGAGUCUUCGAAGCCCGGUGGUUGCUCCACAUAUACUCUUUCUUGUAGUGGUCCAUUUAAAAAAGAGCUCUUGACAUCCAUUUGAUAUAGCUUGAAAUCAUGGUUAGUAGCAUAGGCAAUUAAUAUUCUAAUUGAUUCUAACCUUGCUACCGGCGCAUAUGUUUCACCAAAAUCAAGUCCUUCCACUUGAGUAUAGCCUUGGGCAACCAACCUUGCCUUGUUUCUUGUAACAACGCCAUUUUCAUCUUGCUUGUUCCUAAAGACCCAUUUAGUCCCAAUCACAUUUUGUUUGGGUCUUUGGACUAAGGACCAGACUUCAUUCCUAGUGAAGUUGUUCAACUCCUCUUGCAUGGCAAUUAUCCAAUCCGGAUCACCCAAUGCUUCUUCAACCUUAAGUGGCUCAAGAGAGGAAACAACCGAGUAAAAUUCACAAAAAUUAGCUAAACGAGAUCGAGUCGUUACCCCUCUCCUGAUGCUACCCAGGAUGUUGUCCACCGGAUGAUCCCUUUGAAUUGUAUGAUGGACUCUUGGAUGAGGCACUGAUGGAUGUCUUUGUAUUUGCUCUUCCUCAUCAGUUACUUGAUUAGGAGGCACUUCACCAUCAAUAUUUUCUUGUUCAUCUUCUACCACUGUUGGCAUCCUUUGAUGAUUUUCUUCGUGGUUUGGAUGACUUGAGGUUGAUGGGUUUGCUUGGGUGGAGACAUUGUCACUCACCACCCUUGCACCCACAUCAACUACCUCAUUGGUCAUCCACAAGGUUCCUUCUUCAUCAUCCCUUUCUUGAGGUCUCACCUCACCUAUGCCAAGUUUCUUUAUGGCCUCACAAGGUAGUUCUUCAUUUCCUGCAGUGUCAUUAGAAACAUGCCCUUGCGAGCCAUUAGACUCAUCAAAUGUCACGUCUAUCGCUAUUUCAACAAGACCGGUGGAAUUGUUGAAAACACGAUAUCCAUGCGCAUUUGAUGCAUAACCAAGCAAGAAACCCUCGUCCACUCUAGGAGCAAACUUUGAGCUCUUGACUUUCUUGUUAAGAAUAAAACAUUUACAACCGAAUACUCUAAAAUAAUCAACUUUAGGUCUGUUACCAGUGAGAAGCUCAUAAGCAGUCUUUUUGUAGAUCUUAUGAAGAUAGAGGCGGUUGAUUGCAUGACAGGCGGUGUUGACCGCCUCUGCCCAGAAAUUGUCAGGUGUUUUGUAUUCAUCCAACAUGGUUCUUGCAGCUUCAAUUAGAGUCCGGUUCUUUCUUUCCACAACACCAUUUUGUUGUGGAGUGUAAGGCACCGAGAACUCAUGUUUGAUUCCCUCUUCUCCUAAGAAUUCUUCGACACCUGUGUUCUUGAAUUCCGUCCCAUUAUCGCUUCUCACUUUCUUGAUUUUGAGCUCAAAUUCAUUUUGAGCUCUCCUCAUGAAUUUCUUUAAAAUUUCUUGAGUUUCACCUUUGUCACUCAAAAAGAAAACCCAAGUGAAUCGAGAAAAAUCAUCAACAAUAACUAAACCAUACUUACUACCACCAAUGCUAAUGUAGGCCACAGGUCCGAAGAGAUCCAUGUGAAGAAGCUCCAAUGGCCUCUUUGUUGUGACCACAUUCUUUGAUUGAUGUGGGACUCCAUGUUGCUUUCCUGCUUGACAUGCGCCACAAACCCUAUCUUUCUCAAAUACAACAUUUGUUAGUCCAAUGAUGUGAUUAUCCUUUUGAAGUUUGGCCAAAUUUCUCAUACCGACAUGGGCUAGCCGGCGAUGCCAUAGCCAACCCUUGUCGGAUUUUGCCACUAAACAAGUCUCAGGCGUCACUUUACUUGUUGUGAAAUCAACAAGAUAAAGCUUGCCCUUCAAGCGACCGGUAAAGGCAACUGAGGAGUCCUCCCUUCUAAGGAUCUUCACAUCCACAUCCGAAAAUAAGCAAUUAUAACCCAUUCCACAAAGUUGUGAAAUGGACAACAAAUUAUAGCUCAAGGAAUCUACUAAUAAAACAUUUGAGAGUGAUUGUUGGUCAGAGAUAGGAAUUUUACCAAUACCAAUCACCUUACUCUUGCCACUAUCUCCAAACACAAUUUCUUGUGCUUCUUGAGUUAGUUGCAGUGUAUGAAACAUGUCUUUCUCCCCGGUCAUGUGAUUUGUACAUCCACUGUCAAGCACCCAACUUGACCCACCAGAGGAGUAGACCUGCAAAACAAGUUUAGGCUAUACUUUUAGGUACCCAAAUUGAAUUGGGUCCUACAGUGUUAGUUAUAGCCUUGGGUACCCACACACUUCUUUUCAUGACUUUUUGUUUAGUGUAGGCACCGACAUAUUUCACAACCAAUUUCCCUGAAUCCCAAGUCAACAUAUAAUCACAAAGAUAUGAGUGGGAAAUGGGAGCAUUAGAUUUUUGUCCACUUGAGGAUCCCACUUCCUUCAUCUUAUUCUUUGUGGAACUCAAGUUAACCUUUACCUGAGAUGACUUGUCAUUUGAGGAGUGGAUCCUCCCCAAGGCAUCAUAUAGAGUGGUUCCCUCUAUGAACUUGGGGGAUCUCCACCCCUUAUGCACUGUGCUAGGGUUUUCCUUGGAUGAGUUGAACCCAAGCCCCCUUCUACCAUUGUUGGGCUUAAGGGACUUGUACUUGGGUUCAACUUUCUUUAACCCAUCAUUGCUAGAGCAUCUUUUCAAAAUUUCUUUGACCUUCACCUGUGGGCUAUGCUUCCUUGCAUGGUUAGUUAGACAACAAGAAGCAUGAUAUUUGGCACAAUGCUUGCAAGAAUCAUCAUUAGAGCUAGACUUAGAUUCAAAUACUAAAGUGGGGGCAUUGAUGUUCUUGCAAUUUUCAAGUUGCACUUGAAGUUCUUGAUUUUGAACAUUCAAGCUUAACAUGCUUGAUUCAAGUGCAUUCUUUCUAUUUGCAAGGUUAUCAAUAGAGGUUUUCAAGUUAAUUACUUCUUUAUCUUUAUUGUGAAUCAACUCUUGAAGCUCUAGGUUUCUUUCCUUUUCAAGGAUAAGCAAGUCUUCUUGAGCGUCAAGAGUUGCUUUUCUUUUAUCUAGCUUUUCCAUUAGUUUUGUGAUAACAUUGUAUCCAUUUAAGCCAAAUUCUUUAAUCAUUUUAUUUUUCAUGGCAAUUUGAUCAUCAUCAUCAUCAUUUGAAAAAUCAUUGCUAAAUAAAGUUACCUUAUCUCCCUUUGCCAUGAGGCAAGUUGGAGUGUAGGAGUCAUCUUGAAGGUUGGUGAAGAGUUACGCGCUUGAUGUAGAUUGGAUGGCCACAUUUGCCACCACUUCCUCUUCCUCGGAGCUAGAACUCUCAUCAUCGGAGUUCCAUUCUUCACCAAUAUGAGCUUGUCCAUACUUCUUCUUCUUGAAGUAUCCCUUGGCCUUGCCUCCCUUUUUAAACUUGUCCUUCUUGUAUUCCUUCUUGGCUUCUUGUUCCUUCUUGUUAGGACAAUCCGCUAUGAAAUGACUGGUUUGGCCACAUUCAUAGCAUGCCCUCUUCUUUCCUUUCCUUUGGAACUUGUCAUUCUUCCUUACAAAUUUCUUGAAAGUUUUGAUGAACAUAGCUGUGUCUUCAUCACUUGAGCUAUCUUCAUCACUUGAGGUCUCGACCACUUUCUUUGCUUUGUGGUCUUUGCUCUUCUUGAGAUUGUCUUGUUCAUUUGUGAUCAAGGCAUGAGAGUCUCUUGUCUUGAUGGGGGCUUCUUCGGACUCGUGUUGUUGAAUUUUUGCAAAUAAUUGAUGAGGCGUCAUGUCCUCAUAAUCAUCACGAUCCCUUAUCAUCCUUGCAAGACUUUUAUCCUUCUCUUUAUAAGCUCUCAUGAACAAUCUUGUGACCUUGGAGUCACUCCAAUCUUCACUCCCAAGAACUCUUAUUUUGUUGACCAAUACCAUCAAUCGAUCAAAGAGUGAUUGGAGCGACUCACCCUUUGUCCAAUCAUAUCUUGCAAGCUCACUUUCCAAAGUUUCAACUCUAUGUCUUUUAGCUUUGGGAUCUCCUUCAUGUGACAUUCUAAGAAUAUUCCAAAUGUCACGAGCAUCUUCUCUUCCUUGAACCUUCCGGUAUUCUUCCGGACAAAGACUUCCUUUAAUUAUGCUCACUGCUUGAGCAUUUCGAUGAACCUUUUGCAUCAUUUCCGGAGUCAUCUCUUCUCCUUGGGCGGGCUUAUACAUACCUACAUUAACAAUCUCCCAAAGACUAGGAUGCACACCGAUUAAAUGCGACUUCAUCUUGUCGGCCCACUCAUCAUAGUUCAACUCACUAAGAGUUGGUAACUUUCCAAGUGGGGCGGAAGAGAAGUUGGGAAUAUAAUUUCUAGAGUAAUCGAAUUGAACUUUGCUAAAGUCAUUAUCUUUGCUUUUGGUAGAUGAUCCUUCGGUGUUGAGGCUUACCUUGCUCAAUACCUUAGACACCAAAAGAUCCACUAGAUCGUCAUUAUAAUCAAACGUUCCCUUACCUUUAUCUUCUUCGGCCUUUCUUCUUGAUUCCUCUUCUUCGGCCUUUUUCCUAGCAUCUUCCUCUUUCAUUUUGAGGAACAUUUUCUCGGCAAUCUUCAUGGCGAGGUCGAGGACCUUGGGGUCCACUUCCUCACCGGAAGAUGUGACGGGGAUUUCCUCGAGGAGAGGAUCCACAUGGUCCCGUUGUGUAGACAUGAUCGUUUCCUCACGCGGUUAAGCGUAAAACGAGGCACGAAGCUCUGAUACCAAUUGAAAGUAGCCUAGAGGGGGGGUGAAUAGGCUACACCUGAAAAUUUUCACUAAAAAUUUCGAAAUAGGUUAAAUUAAAGUUGCACCGGUGCAAACCGGUUCAGUCGAUUUUAAUCACAACUGAACAGGUUUGAACCCACUCAACUUAAAUUUAAUAAUCUAUUGAACAAAUGCGAAGUAGUAAAGAAAAUAGCUAAAGAUUUGCCCUACACAAGAACUACUUGAAUGAAUAAUAUGAACCAACCACCGAAUAUGAAGUGCUUAACAAGAACACACAAGAACACGAGAUAUAACCCGAGGUUCGGCAACCACCACAAAGGUGUCCUACUCCUCGUUGAGGAACCCACAAAGGGCCGGGUCUUUUCCAACCCUAAUCCUCCACAAGCCGACCACAAAGGUCAAGGCAAUCUCUUCUCAAAUCUGCUCAAGGAGCAGGUGAUACAAACUUCUUGGAGUCGUCCACAGAUUUGGAGACUCCCAAGCAACCUCUAACCGUCAAGGAACACGAGGUUCCAAGAGUAACAAAUCCGCACACGGUUAAGUUUGCAACGAGCUCAAGAACAAGAGAAUGGGAGAAUCGAGAUGAAAUUGACAGCGAGUUCGAUCGAGUUCACCUCACACCAAGGGUCCUUCAAAUGAUUGAAGGAGAUGCGAAUGCGGGUAUGAGAGGUGAAGUGAAUGCUCUUGUUUGAGGGUUGGUCAGCCAAAGAUUCGUGGGAGAGGCAGAAGUAAAUGAGAGAGAGAGUGUGAGGGGGUAUAUAAAGGAUCCCCCAAAAGCUGGCAGCCGUUGGGAGAAAAAGGACAAAAACCGGUUGAACCGGUUUACAAACCGGUUGAACCGGUUUCUGCCAGGGGGAUCCCGGUCCACUGGUCUACUCAGCCGGACACUGGACCGGUUUUAAAACCGGCUGAGUAGGGACAAAAAUCGGCUCAACCGGUUUCUGAAAAAUAUCUGCUGCGACUUUUCUGACAGCUCUGACUGUCAGACAGGUCAGAGCAGAGGUGGCAGGGUGAACAGUACCGAAACCGGUUGAACCGGUUUCAGGACCGGUUGAACCGGUUUUGGGGGCUGAAACCAAACUUGGAGAAUUUUGAAGAGAACAAAGGGAGAGACUUUGUGGGAAGUGAAAUUUGUUUUUUCUCAAGAGCAUUCAUGAUCUGGGAAAAAUGAUCUCAAAGGAGUUUUCAAAAGAAUUGAACUUGGCUCGUUUCACAACUUACUUAACCGUCGCGGAUCCCUCUUAAUUGUACGGCGAUUCCUAUGACUCAAGAAUUAUAAACUUAGCACUGCCGUUGUUUCAGAGCACAUGGAGCACGCCAUUUGAUGUGGAAUUUUAAAUCCGCUGUGCUUUAUACUUUUAUGCUCGUAGGAUCUGUGCUUCCCCUGUCUGUAGAAAUACUGUGUACAUACUAGGAGCAAACUUGUUAGAAUCUUAGUUUGUUUUGUCAUUAAUCACCAAAACCCUGAAUUAGGGUUGAUUGCACUUACAGACGGUCCGAACGAAGGGAGUAUCACUGAUCUAAUCAGAACCAUCAACCCGAGAUCCUACGGUCCACAGUUCUUCUUCUCGCCCUAUUCUACACGACGGAGACGCACAGUCCGCCCACGACGGAGCAUCAUCGGCGGACGCGCAAUUCCACGGCUGGACGCUCCAAACUCAAAAUUGGUCGGUGCCAAACCUAGAGGGGGUGAUGGCGAUUACGGAAAGGGGUUUCUCACCUCAGUUGGUAGCGCGGACAGCCCUGGCCACGGUGAGGUGCGGUACCGCGGCGGAUGUAAGGUUCCGGCGAGCGAUUCACCCGCGCCAGGUCACCCAAGUCACACGAGGAGGCUCCCGAAUCAAGCGGUAUAUCCUGGCGACGGGCUCCGAUCACAACUUGAGGCUAAAACGGCGAUAGGACCAUGAAUCCGUGGCCGCGGCGGCGGGACUACUCUUUCUCUCUCUCGGUGAUAGGGCGGCACUGGAAAUUAGGGGAAACUGUGGAACAGAGAGAGGCAAUGGAUCGUGGCCACGGAUAUAGGGGUGGGCUGAGCCGCAGCUGCAACGGCGUCAGCGAGAUCCCCGGAAGGUGCUCGCCGCGGAUCACGCGACCGCUGUUGACGCAGCCGUGCGAAGGAAGGGGGUGACAGGUGGGGUCCCGAGUUCAGUGAAACGGAGCGCGAGCGGGACAAGCGGCGAUGGCUGCCAGCGGGACCCACACCACAGUGAGCACGCAACAGGGGGUGAGGCUGCCGCACGGACCCAGCUGUCGGCGCACUCGGCCACGGGGCUAAUGGGCUGCACGGGAUGAAUGUCCUGGUGGGCCAAAUGGGGGAUCUGCAGCCCGGUAAGUUCUCCUUUUCUUUUUCUUUUAUUUUUUUCUUUCUAUUUUCUUCAUUUAUAAGGUUUAGUUUGAAUUCGAAUUUAAAUUCGAAUUUGUGCCAAAUUCCUUCUCAUUUAUUUGUGUGAGGUUAACUUACAAUUUUAGAGAUAUAAUUUAGACAUGAUAUAUAUAUUUUAUAUCAUUUCUCUUCUUCCCAUUUUAUAAAACCCUAAUUUUAAUUUAGGGUUUGGUUUAACUUCUAGCAUUUAUUAUCUUAUUAUCCUUAUUAUUUUUAUUUAAUGCACAAACAUGUAAAACUCCAACAUGAUGCACUUUAGUUUAUUUUAGAAUCAUUGGUUUUAAUUAAUCACUCUCAAUUAUAUGGGUGCUCUUUUUAUGAUGCAAAUAAGGCACAUAAAAUUGAGGAUAUCUCUCUAUUGUUCUUUGCAUACAACUUUGAGUAUUACAAAUCCUACCCCCUUAAGAAGAAUCUCGUCCUCGAGAUUUAGGAAGGACUAGGGAAAAGAUGGGGAAAAUCUAUGCGAAGCCCUUCUUCUCUCUCCCAAGUAGCUUCAUCUUCACCAUGGUGACUCCAUUGUACUUUGCACAUCUUUAUCACCUUAUUUCUUGUAACUCGAGUCAAUGUGUCCAGGAUCUUGAUAGGGUACUCAGCAUAGGUCAGAUCAUCUUGAACACUAAGGUCCUCCAUUGGUAACUGCUCCUCAGGUACCCUGAGGCACUUCUUUAGCUGGGACACAUGAAACACAUCAUGUACAUCUGACAGGUGAUCGGGUAGCUUCAGUUGAUAUGCAACUUCUCCCACUCGCUUUAAGAUCAAGAAAGGUCCAAUGAAGCGAGGGGACAACUUUCCUUUAACUUUAAAUCUCCUCAUACCCCGGAGUGGUGACACCUUCAAAUAGACAUGAUCACCCUCCUUAAACUCCAGUAGUCUUCUCCUAUUAUCAGGAUAGCUCUUUUGCCUGGAUUGUGCAAUUCUCAAAUUUUCUCUUAUCAUUCGAACUUGUUCUUCUGCCUCUUGAAUAAGUUCAGGCCCAAAGAACUGUCUUUCUCCAGUUUGAUCCCAAUACAGGGGAGUCCUGCAUUUUCUACCAUACAGAGCUUCGAAUGGUGACAUCUUCAAACUGGCCUGGUAGCUAUUAUUAUAAGAAAACUCAGCAUAGGGUAAGCUCUUUUCCCAACUGCCACCAUGCUUGAGAGCACAAGCUCUUAACAUAUCUUCCAGCACUUGAUUAGUUCUCUCUGUCUGUCCAUCAGUCUGGGGAUGGUAGACUGAGCUAAAAUUCAACCUUGUAUCCAAGCUCUCAUGCAACUUCUUCCAAAAUCGAGAAGUAAACUGCGAUCCUCGAUCAGACACGAUCUUCUUAGGCACACCAUGUAGGCAAACUAUCCGAGUCAUAUAUAAUUCUGCUAGCUUGGCUCCCGUAUAAUUAGUCCUCACAGGUAUAAAAUGAGCGACUUUUGUCAAUCUGUCCACAAUUACCCAAAUAGAGUCAUAUCCUGCUGGGGUGCGGGGUAGUCCAACAAUGAAAUCCAUACCAAUUUCUUCCCAUUUCCACUCAGGUAUCUUCAAUGGGUGCAAUAGUCCAGCUGGUCGUUGAUGUUCGGCCUUGACUCUUUGACAUACAUCACACUUAGCCACAUGAGCAGCCACAUCUCUUUUCAGUCCAUACCACCAAUACUUUUGCUUCAAAUCUUGAUACAUCUUAGUGCUACCAGGGUGGAUAGAAUAAUCAGAAUCAUGGGCUUCUUUCAAUAUAGUCUCACGGAGGCUAUCAAUCUCUGGAACACAUAUCCGAUCUUUGAACCAUAUAGUACCUUGCUCAUCCUCCGUGAAUUCCGGAACUCGACCCUCAGUAAUCAGAUCCUUAAUCUCUUGGAUUUUUGCAUCACCAACCUGACCUUUACGAAUCUCUUGCUCCAAGGUAGGUUCCAAUUCAAUGGUGACUCCUUCCGUGUGUGUAACAAUUCCCAGGUUGAGCCUCUCAAAAUCUUUUGCUAAUUCAUCGGGUAGCUGGACAACAAAAGCGGAGUGAACAUGCUCUUUCCGACUCAAGGCAUCUGCAACCAAAUUUGCCUUGCGUGGGUGAUAGUGAAUCUCCAAAUCAUAAUCCUUAAUGAGCUCCAACCAACGACGUUGCCUAAGGUUGAGAUCCUUCUGAGUGAAUAUAUACUUCAAACUCUUAUGAUCUGUGUAUACUUGGCACUUAGUUCCCAUAAUGUAAUGUCUCCAAAUCUUAAGAGCAUGCACAACUGCUGCCAGCUCUAAAUCAUGAGUGGGGUAGUUCAAUUCAUGUUUUCGCAACUGACGAGACGCAUAGGCGAUCACAUGUCCUUCUUGCAUGAGCACACAUCCAAGUCCUUGGCCACAUGCAUCACAAUAAAUGUCAAAUCCCUUCUGUAGAUCUGGCAUAACCAAUACUGGUGGCGACAUUAGUCUCUCCUUCAAUUGAUCAAAGUUUUCUUGGCAUUUCUCAUCCCACUUGAAUUCUCUUCCUUUCUCCAAAAGCGAGGUCAUAGGCUUGGCAAUUUUAGAGAACCCUUCAAUAAAUCUCCGAUAAUAUCCUGCGAGUCCCAAGAAACUCCGAAUCUCAGUAACUGUAGUGGGCACUCUCCACUCCAUUAUCUCCUUCACUUUAGCAGGAUCCACUGCUAUUCCUCCAUUAGAAAUAAUAUGACCAAGGAAUGGCACCUUGUCAAUCCAAAACUCGCACUUGCUGACUUAGCAUAGAGUUGAUUAUCUCGCAGCUUCUGUAGCACCAACCUUAGAUGUUGUUCAUGAUCACUUUCAUUCUUAGAAUAGAUAAGAAUAUCGUCGAUGAACACCACGACGAAUCUGUCCAAAUACUCCAUAAACACCUUGUUCAUCAAAUUCAUGAAAUAAGCUGGUGCAUUGGUCAAUCCAAAUGACAUAACAGUAAACUCAUAUAAUCCAUAUCGGGUUGAGAAAGCCGUCUUGGGAAUAUCCGAUGGUCUAAUCCUCAUCUGGUGGUAACCGGAUCGGAGAUCAAUCUUCGAGAAUACUCUAGCACCUCGCAUCUGAUCAAAUAAAUCUUCAAUGCGGGGUAACGGAUACUUGUUCUUCACGGUAACAUCAUUAAGGGACCUAUAAUCCACACACAUCUGCUGUGAUCCGUCCUUCUUUUGUACAAAUAGAACCGUUGCUCCCCAAGGUGAAGAACUCAAUCAAAUGUACCCAGCCUCUUGCAACUCUGUUAAGUGCUUCUUGAGUUCUUUUAACUCUUCUAUAGACAUCCUAUAUGUCCAUUUAGAAAUAGGAGCAGUUCCAGGUAAGAGAUCUAUGACAAACUCAACUUCUGUAUCUGGUGGCAUCCCUGGUAACUCCUCUGGAAAGACAUCCGGAAAAUCCUUAACCACACGGAUGUUGUCACCAACAAACUUCCCAUCGACUAAGAAUACCGCUAGUCAAGUGGCGGUAGUUACUGCAAUUCCAACUUCAAAUCUUUCUCCUUUGGAACUGGUGAGUUCUAUGGUUCCUUUAGCACAGUGCAUAAACUGCCUUUGCCUUUCUUAACCAUGACAUACCAAGGAUUACGUCUAUAGUGCUCUCUUCUAACACUAUAGGGGUAGCCCAUCUGGGUUGGAAACAUAGGGUAAGAAAGGAAGAAUUGUAGACGAGGCGAGUAAUUACGAAUCGUGUUACUUUGGGGGAUUUAUUAGCUAAGCAGUUUAAUGUUUUAUCUACCAUAGCUAAUUCAAUACCUUAUAGUGGUACAUGCUAAGAUGCCCAACUAUAAUGUUUCAAUCAAUCAAAGAAGCAAAUCAAGCAUUUAUCAUCAGAACAAUCAAACAACAUUUUUAAAUAUAGAAAAUAGUUUUGUUUUGGUCUUAGGCCUCCUAUCUCUUAAAAAUGUCAUAGGGGUAGGGAUUCCAAGGUGUGAAAUCCAUCUUGUCUCAGAAUAGAAAAGAUAAGAAUGAUUAGAGUAGAACAGUAGAAGGUGAGACAAGAUCAAGAUAUGUGUAGAAAGAAUCAGAGUAAGGUAAGUAUAGAAUGAAUCAGAAUAAGAUAAGUAGGUCCAUUUCUAUCUAGGUUUCGUCCUACAGUCAACAUUUCCUCUGAUACCACUUCUGUCACACCCGGCUUUAAGGAACAAAGCCAGGUGCAUCUCAUACAUGCGCCAAGAAGACAACAUAUAUAUGAACAGAGUGUAUAGAGAUAAAUGUCAUAAAACAUCAGAGUAUUUAUUACAUAGCGGAAGACUUAUUACAAAAUAAAAUAAUAAAUAUAAAACGAACUAAGGAUCGUCGGCGCCAAUGUCAACUGAGAAACGCCACCUAGAUCAGAUCAUACUCCUCGCCUUGUGGCUCCUCCUGAACCACAUGUUCUUCUCCUGUUGGGGGGUGUGAGACAGCAAGAGUGAGCUCACAUACGUUCAUCGCUCAACAAGUUGUGGGGAAUAAUGUGACAUGAACUCACCAAAGGUGGGAGUUCAUGUAGUGUAAGGCUGAUCAAUGAAAUAAAGGCUGAAGCUGAGCAUUGCUUUUAGAAGUUGGUCAAAAUUUUAUUAGCAGUUACUAAGUGUAAGUAAAUACCAAACCUUAGAAAUAAUAAAUAAAAGUAAUAAUAAAAUAAUCCCAAAUGCAAUGAUAUGACAGAUUAAGUUUAAGUUCCAUAAAUUAAUCAUGUGAGUGUCCGAGCCGCUCAUGACCGUGAGCACGGCUAGUAUACCAGUUUUACACUCUGCAGUGGUUGCGCAUCUUUACCCACAAGUCGUGUUACCCAUUUGCCACGGAGUUGAUCAGACUCCAUACACCUCUACCGAGGAAGCGAGGCAGGGUACCACUACGAGGCCUUUACAAAGUUCCACUAGCUUCAGACUACCCGCUACAGUUUAUAGGAAGCUCCAGUGCAGGGUUCUUGCCUGACCGCCAUCGCAGCAAAAUCAACCCAAGGACCCCCCUACACUGACCACUCCCCUACUGCCCUUGCCCCUUUCGGGUAAGGCAGCCCUCCACUAGCUUUCCUAGUUAAUCAGCCAAGGGUGUCCCAUUAUACCCUUGUGGUAGCACUGUUUUCCCGGGUGGUUCUACAUGUUCCCAUUAACAUAAUGAUCUUAUCAUGAAUAGUAAAUAAUAAAUAGAUAAUAAAAAGGUAUGACAAUGAGUGAUAAAUAUCUUUAUACCCAAAGCCACAUAAAGCGAUAGCAUGUACUACCCAAAAAUUUAGUAGUAAGACCAGUGGUGAAACAAGGUAUAAAGAUAGUCAAAAUCUAGGGUAACCUAUUGGGUCCCAUCAGAAUUAACCUAUGCAGAUCAUUAUGAUUAAUAAGAACAUGAAUAGGUAAAAGAAGUGAUCAAGGACACAACUUGCCUUCAACGAGCUCCUGCUCAGCAGUCUCUACUUGCUGAACCUCAGAUUCCACAGUGGCUUGCUCGUCUAUUCGCAUCAACACAAUACAUACAUAGUAUAGCCAAAAUCAACAUCACACCAAACAUGUAAAUAAAUAUACAGUAAAAUCUAUACAUUAAAAUGAGAUCAUAGGAACUGGAAUCACUAAAUUUGGAGUUAUAGAUUUCAAGUUAUGAAUUUCCUAAGGUUUAAUGUGAUUAAAAUAUGAUUAGAUGAUAAAUUAAUUUUCUAACUGAGUUCAUGUCAAAACAGUGAUACUAAUUGAUAGAGAAUAUUAUUACAAAAUUUUAGAAAUUGAAAUGGUUCAAUUUGGACCAAAAAUGAAAUUUCUAUGAAUUUUACAAGUUUCUAGAUUUGUUUUUGUAUUAAAAAUGAAUUUCUAAUAUUAUUUAUCUGUUUUUAAACGUCUCUGGACUGGGCCUCGAAUUCUAGAAAGCGCAGGGGUUCUGGCGCAAGUUUACCGAGACACAAUGAAUAGUACUCUGAGGACUGCGGGUUGAUUCUAUAAUAUUCCAGGGGCUCUUACGCAAGACUAACAGCCGAAAGGGUAUCGGCUAAUAUCGACCGUCCGAUUAGAAAUCACGCGUCCAGAUUAAAUCAGCAAACGCGCGAACCGGUACGCCGAGGGAUCCACACGAUCUAAGAUCAACGGUCACAAUUUAAUGAAUGCAGAGGUAAGCGCCUAUCGUCCGAUUCGAGAUCGACGGUCCGAACGAAGGGAGUAUCACUGAUCUAAUCAGAACCGUCAACCCGAGAUCCUACGGUCCACAGUUCUUCUUCUCGCCCUAUUCUACACGACGGAGACGCACAGUCCGCCCACGGCGGAGCAUCAUCGGCUGGACGCGCAAUUCCACGGCUGGACGCUCCAAACUCAAAAUUGGUCGGUGCCAAACCUAGAGGGGGUGAUGGCGAUUACGGAAAGGGGUUUCUCACCUCAGUUGGUAGCGCGGACAGCCCUGGCCACGGUGAGGUGCGGUACCGCGGCGGAUGUAAGGUUCCGGCGAGCGAUUCACCCGCGCCAGGUCACCCAAGUCACACGAGGGGGCUCCCGAAUCAAGCGGUAUAUCCUGGCGACGGGCUCCGAUCACAACUUGAGGCUAAAACGGCGAUAGGAGCAUGAAUUCGUGGCCGCGGCGGCGGGACUACUCUUUCUCUCUCUCGGUGAUAGGGCGGCACUGGAAAUUAGGGGAAACUGUGGAACGGAGAGAGGCAAUGGAUCGUGGCCACGGAUAUAGGGGUGGGCUGAGCCGCAGCUGCAACGGCGUCAGCGAGAUCCCCGGAAGGUGCUCGCCGCGGAUCACGCGACCGCUGUUGACGCAGCCGUGCGAAGGAAGGGGGUGACAGGUGGGGUCCCGAGUUCAGUGAAACGGAGCGCGAGCGGGACAAGCGGCGAUGGCUGCCAGCGGGACCCACACCACAGUGAGCACGCAACAGGGGGUGAGGCUGCCGCACGGACCCAGCUGUCGGCGCGCUCGGCCACGAGGCUAAUGGGCUGCACGGGAUGAAUGUCCUGGUGGGCCAAAUGGGGGAUCUGCAGCCCGGUAAGUUCUCCUUUUCUUUUUCUUUUAUCUUUUUCUUUCUAUUUUCUUCAUUUCUAAGGUUUAGUUUGAAUUCGAAUUUAAAUUCGAAUUUGUGCCAAAUUCCUUCUCAUUUAUUUGUGUGAGGUUAACUUACAAUUUUAGAGAUAUAAUUUAGACAUGAUAUAUAUAUUUUAUAUCAUUUCUCUUCUUCCCAUUUUAUAAAACCCUAAUUUUAAUUUAGGGUUUGGUUUAACUUCUAGCAUUUAUUAUCUUAUUAUCCUUAUUAUUUUUAUUUAAUGCACAAACAUGUAAAACUCCAACAUGAUGCACUUUAGUUUAUUUUAGAAUCAUUGGUUUUAAUUAAUCACUCUCAAUUAUAUGGGUGCUCUUUUUAUGAUGCAAAUAAGGCACAUAAAAUUGAGGAUAUCUCUCUAUUGUUCUUUGCAUACAACUUUGAGUAUUACACUGACUGAAGGGGUACCAUCGCAUAUAGGCCAUCAAAUCGGACAUGGAUGACCCAGAUUAGAUUGGCGCGUUUAAAUGAUUAGUGUGCUAUGAGAGCCCUCGAAUCAAGGAUCUACGAUCCGAGGCCCACGCAACGCCCUAACCGCCAGCCAACCGAUCAAAGGCCAGAUCAUACAGUCGCAAUGGGGUAGUUUCAUGUGCUAAUCUGAAUCGUCCAACACGAGAUCAACGACUAGGGUUUACGAGAACGUGACCCUUGGAUUCGAUCACAACGGUCCGUGUGUAAUAUAAUCGAAGGGGUAUUCUCUUCUAAUCGUGGUCGUCCCGAGCUAGAUCGAUGGUCAUCCUUGCCCGGUUACCCCACAUCCAACAACGACGGCGCUAGAACAGGGGCACGACAGCGCCCUCAUCGGAGUAGGGCGUCCACCUGAUUCCCGCCGUAAUCCCUCGAUUAACUUGCAGUACACUUCUAUAAGACCAUGGCGAGGAAGUGGGAUGGAUACUCACCAACAGUGAGGAUGCGAGGCGGCAGCACUGCGGCAAGGCAUGGGCGGAAGGCUUGUGCCUGCUCCAAUGAGCAAUCCCAGGCUCCCGGCUUGCUAAUAUUAAAAGGCGCGAGGCACCCAUCUUCCCUCACGACGUCGCGGAGCUGCCCCAGUCUGGAUCGCAGGGUCAAAUCGACGGUUGGACAGAAUCCCCCACACGGUGGCGCUCUGCUCUUUUUCUCACACGACGACGCGCUUGCUGGAGAUUGGAGUUUGCUUCGCUGGCAAUGAAUAGGUCGAGGCAUGACGUUCGGCGCGUCAGGUUAUAGCCCCCCUCCUCCCAACAUUCGCAGAGUUGGUUUGGGUCAACGGUAGCUUGCACGGCAUGAGGAGGAGCUACAGAGCUACGGAGAGUCCGUUGCAGGGAGAUCUACAGCAACCAUGGGCCCACAUGUCAUCGACCCGAGCUGAGAGAAAUAUGCGCUGAGUGGCUGACAAAUUAUCCCCCGCACGUAGAGAACGCGUGAGAGAACAGCGCCAAAGUAGAACGAGUCUGCCCCAUGGGCGCCACCUGCCAGUGAGCGAAAUGGCAACAUGUGGGCGCAGUAAUGUGAGACUGACCGGUGGGCCCCUGUUGUCGGCACCAGUCUGUCGUAGUGGGCUUUCAUGACCGCACGAGGUGGAUAGAUAGGUCGGCUGGGGGGUUUGGCCCAGCACACGUUUCCUUUUCUUUUUUUCUUUUUCUUUUUCUUUUCUGUUUUCUUUUUAUUUAUAGUUUGAGUUCAAAUUUCAAAUUUAAAUUAGCCAAUUUCAAACUUCAGGUUUAAAUUAAAUGCACAACCAAGGAAAUCUAGCAUGAUGCAUAAUUCCAUGUGUUUAUUUAGUAUUUGUUUAAAAGAAUUAUUCCUCAUGAAUAAGUCACAUAAUCAAAAUAGCUCCUUUAUUAUUUCAAAUGACUAGAGUCAUGAGUACUCUAUACUAGGGUUUACAGCAACUGCCUUGGCUGUUGCAGUGUAUUAGAUACUGACUUCUGAUUGAUUUGUUGCAUGUUUGUUUUAACACUAUGCUUCCUUGCAGUACCUCUUUCCAUCUCCUGUCGCUGCCUCUACCAUAUCUACCUGAAGGAACAAAUUUGAGCGCAUCUUUUGUUGACAGUGGCUUUAGUUUGCUAUUGGUGCUCUAGUAAGAAAAAUAGAUGUAUUUUGUUGACGGUGUCUUCACAAUCUAGCACAUGACUCAUGAAAAGCAGUGUUCUGGUACAAACAUUUUGUUGAUAAUGGCUUUAGUUUGUGUUGAUGCUUCAGUUUGCUGAUGAUGAUGCUUGUACUGUUUUUUACUACUUCAGUUUGCUUGACAAACUAUUGUGAAGAUGGAUAAAGUGUGAUGUGAUGAUGGAUGAACUAAUUUACUAUGCUUCAGUUUACUUUGUUUGAUUUUUUCCUGAUUUUUGAAUUAUUGUUUAUAGCAUCAAAUAGCUAUGGAUGAACUAUUUCCUGAUGAUGGAUAAAGUUCUCAUCCAAUCUAGUAGUAUAGAGUUGUUGCUUGCUACGUUUUAGGACUAAAACAGCUUUGGACUAAACCCUUGGUUGCCAAAGGAUGGUAGGGAAAAUCCUCUUAGGAAAUUGAAGUGCCAUUUAAAUCCCCUUGGUAGAUUUUUUCCAUGGGUUUUUUUCCUAUGGCUGCCAAACCAGUCCUUAUAGAACAAAAAGUCCAGGUAUACAUGCAUACAUUUUAACAUUACUAUAUUAGCGACGAUAGUUAUGAAAUGACUGCAUAAU
rnacentral:lncRNA from 1 species